rnacentral:tRNA from 1 species
AGAAACUUAGGUUAAUCCAACCAUGGGCCUUCAAAGCCUAAAAUAGAAGCGCGCACUUCUAGUUUCUG